rnacentral:rRNA from 1 species
UACGGAGGGUGCAAGCGUUAAUCGGAAUUACUGGGCGUAAAGCGUACGUAGGCGGUUCAAUAAGUCGGAUGUGAAAGCCCUGGGCUUAACCUGGGAAUGGCAUUUGAUACUGUUGGACUAGAGUCUAGGAGAGGGAAGUGGAAUUCCCGGUGUAGCGGUGAAAUGCGCAGAUAUCGGGAGGAACACCAGUAGCGAAGGCGGCUCGCUGGGCCGUUCCUGACGCUGAGACGCGAAAGCUAGGGGAGCGAACAGG